GGAGAGGUGGUAGAGUGGUCGAUUGCGCUCGACUUGAAAUCGAGUGAACCGAAAGGUUCCGAGGGUUCGAAUCCCUCCCUCUCCG
rnacentral:tRNA from 2 species